UACGUAGGGUGCGAGCGUUAAUCGGAAUUACUGGGCGUAAAGCGUGCGCAGGCGGCUUCGCAAGUCAGACGUGAAAUCCCCGGGCUUAACCUGGGAAUGGCGUUUGAAACUACGGAGCUGGAGUAUGGCAGAGGGGGGUGGAAUUCCACGUGUAGCGGUGAAAUGCGUAGAUAUGUGGAGGAACACCGAUGGCGAAGGCAGCCCCCUGGGCCAAUACUGACGCUCAUGCACGAAAGCGUGGGGAGCAAACAGG
rnacentral:rRNA from 1 species